AAUUGAAAGAGCUUAGACGUGGCUCAGGAGUACGCUAUCUAGUGGGUUACACAUGCAAGUCAUAUGAAGAUAACCAGGUGGCGUUUUGUUUUUGCCAUAUGCCCCUCAAAGAAACUCCGACCCCUAGGGACCGCUCGGCCUAGUCCUUAAGGCCUUGGGGACCGGACGGAGGGGUUAAGGGAGGGUCCUCUCUCUUCUCUGGAAAAUUCCCUUCAUGGCGACCGGGUGAGUACCAAAUAGGAAUCUACCUACAGGAAGGGUUUAAUGCCCAUAAUUCAAAAGGAACUUUUCCGCCUGCAGAUGAGCCUAUCCUGUAAUAGAUAGUUGGUGGUGGUAACGGCCCACCAAGUCUAUGAUGCAUAGUUGGUUUGAGAGAACGGCCAACCACAGUGGCACUGAAAUAAGGGUCACCCGAGGAAUACUCGGCAGCAGUGAGGAAUAUUGGACAAUGAGGGCAACCUUGAUCCAGCCAACUACGAAGGGUCCUACCUAAUCCCGUACAAACCCUAUCGGAGAGGAGCAUAAUGAGUAAACUCUCCUAUCAGUCCCGACAAACCUCGUGCCAGCAGUCGCGGUAAUACGAGGGGGGCUAGCGUUAUCCGUCUUGAAUGGGCCUAGAGUGUCUGUAGGCUGCCCGCUAAGGUUAACUCUGGUCUGCCCCAAGCCUCCCCUGCCUCCUAGGAGCCCCCCGUACGGUCCAACCCGAGGGGGACCGGGGCCCGGUCCGCCAGUGGACGAGCCAACGGAUUGGACCUAAGGACUUGGCGGGGUGGCUUGGACCAAGGUAGGCUAAACUCCGGUACCUACCCCAGUCUUGGACCUAAUGGUUUACCGACGCCAACCCCCGGCACCGGCCCCGGUCCCCUGGACCGCUGCUAGGGAGCAGGGGGGGGGUGCUAGAGCAAGGUAGUUCACCGAGAAGUUUGACAACUAGCGAGCUAGAGUGGAAUUGGGGGAUCAGGGAACUCCAGGAGUAGGGAUAGAAUCCGGUGAUCCCUGGAGGACCGCUACGGCGAAGGCCCUAUCCUAAGUAACCACUGACGCUGUGAGACGAAAGUGUGGGGAGCGAAGAGGAUUAGAUACCCUCGUAGUCCACACCUUAAACGAUGGAGGCUAUAGGUUGGGACCCUUUCUCCUGCUCCAUCUCUUUACAAGGGAAGGCAGGCUAAGGUCUCAUCCUAGAAGCGAAGGCAUUAAGCCUCCCGCCUGGGGAGUAUGAAGGCAACUUUGAAACCCAAACGUCUAGACGGCCCUGAAGACCAGCAGUGAAGCAUGUUGUUUAAAUCGAUACUCCGCGAAGAACCUUACCACUCCUUGUAUGUUACACAGGUGCUGCAUGGCUGCCUUUAGUUCAUGUCGUGAGAUAUUAGGUUAAUUCCGCUAAUGAACGAAACCCCUCCUGUUAGUUAAAUUGUUUCUUGGCCCCGGUCCGAGCUGCUUGGACCUAGGGGACCUUAGCUUGGUAUUGAACCUUACUAUAGAGGUGGUUAACUCCGAACCCGAGGUGCAGGUUUCAGCCCUCGGCCAGCCCCUCCAACCCGAGGGGGACCGGGGCCCGGUCGUUUCUUGGACCUUGGAAAUCUCCUAGCAGAAACCUUGGGCCAAGACCUAGCCCCUAGGACCCCUCCCCCUAGGACCCUUUGGGUGCCGGGGGUUAGGUCCUACAAACCCCGGCCCAUGACCCGUAGGCCAUUGGUCCUAGGGGCAGGGUGGCAAGGGUUUGGAACGCCUAGUAGCUAAGCCUAAGCAAAUCUAGCAGGGUAUGGUACUACAAGUGCUAUUAACUGGGGACGGCGACAAGCCCUCAUGGCCCUUAUGGAGUGGGCUAUAGUAACGUGCCACAAAUUCUUUAACAAUGGGAGGCAAUGGUGUGAGCCGGAGGUAAUCCCUAACCAAAGAUAAUGGUUCGGAUUGUAGACUGAAACUCGUCUGCAUGAAGAAGGAAUUGCUAAGUAAUCUGCGCAUCAGCACGGCGCGGUGAAAACUACUUUCAGAGCGUACUAAUCGUCCAUCAGGCGCUGGGAAUUGGCCCCGGACAAAGCUACCAAGCUUGGCUAGGAACAGAGUGUAUUCCUCUUAUUCUUAGUUAAGCCUCUGGCUAGUUAGUAGGGGCUGGUGACUGGUGUUAAGUUGUAGCAAAGUAGGUGUAGCGGAAGCUGUACCUGAACGUAUAAAUCG
rnacentral:rRNA from 1 species